GAUGAACGCUAGCGACAGGCCUAACACAUGCAAGUCGAGGGGCAGCACAUGAGUAGCAAUACGAUGGUGGCGACCGGCGCACGGGUGAGUAACACGUAUGCAACCUGCCUGUAAGAGGGGAAUAACCCGGAGAAAUUCGGACUAAUACCGCAUAAUACCACGAGACUGCAUGGUUUUGUGGUUAAACAUUUAUGGCUUACAGAUGGGCAUGCGUAUGAUUAGAUAGUUGGUAGGGUAACGGCCUACCAAGUCUACGAUCAUUAGGGGUUCUGAGAGGAAGGUCCCCCCACACCGGUACUGAGACACGGACCAGACUCCUACGGGAGGCAGCAGUGAGGAAUAUUGGUCAAUGGGCGAGAGCCUGAACCAGCCAAGUCGCGUGAAGGAAGAAGGUUCUAUGGAUUGUAAACUUCUUUUGCAGGGGAAUAAAGGACGGUACGUGUACUGUUUUGUAUGUACCUUGCGAAUAAGGAUCGGCUAACUCCGUG
rnacentral:rRNA from 1 species